UGUUUUGAUGCUACUUU
rnacentral:sRNA from 1 species